rnacentral:rRNA from 1 species
AGAUCGUAAACAGCUCACUAAUCGACCUGCCCACCCCAACAAAUAUCUCUGCCUGAUGAAAUUUCGGCUCACUACUAGGACUGUGCCUUAUCACACAAAUCAUCACCGGACUAUUCCUAGCCAUACAUUACACAGCUGAUACCACACUAGCAUUCACCUCCGUCGCUCACAUUUGCCGCGACGUCCAAUACGGAUGACUAAUUCGAAACAUACAUGCCAACGGCGCAUCCAUAUUCUUUAUUUGCUUAUACUCCCACAUCGGCCGAGGCCUAUACUACGGAUCAUACUUGUACAAAGAAACAUGAAACACAGGAGUACUACUACUGUUCCUAACUAUAGCCGCCGCAUUCAUAGGCUACGUACUACCAUGAGGACAAAUAUA